AUUGAACGCUGGCGGCAGGCCUAACACAUGCAAGUCGAACGGUAGCACAGAGAGCUUGCUCUCGGGUGACGAGUGGCGGACGGGUGAGUAAUGUCUGGGAAACUGCCCGAUGGAGGGGGAUAACUACUGGAAACGGUAGCUAAUACCGCAUAACGUCGCAAGACCAAAGUGGGGGACCUUCGGGCCUCACACCAUCGGAUGUGCCCAGAUGGGAUUAGCUAGUAGGUGGGGUAAUGGCUCACCUAGGCGACGAUCCCUAGCUGGUCUGAGAGGAUAACACGCCACACUGGAACUGAGACACGGUCCAGACUCCUACGGGAGGCAGCAGUGGGGAAUAUUGCACAAUGGGCGCAAGCCUGAUGCAGCCAUGCCGCGUGUAUGAAGAAGGCCUUCGGGUUGUAAAGUACUUUCAGCGGGGAGGAAGGCGGUGAAGUUAAUAGCUUCACCGAUUGACGUUACCCGCAGAAGAAGCACCGGCUAACUCCGUGCCAGCCGCCGCGGUAA
rnacentral:rRNA from 1 species